rnacentral:siRNA from 1 species
AUAAGUAAGUGUCAUAGAUA